rnacentral:rRNA from 1 species
CAGUAGCCGCGGUAAUACGUAGGUGGCAAGCGUUGUCCGGAAUUAUUGGGCGUAAAGGGCUCGCAGGCGGUUUCUUAAGUCUGAUGUGAAAGCCCCCGGCUCAACCGGGGAGGGUCGUUGGAAACUGGGAAACUUGAGUGCAGAAGAGGAGAGUGGAAUUCCACGUGUAGCGGUGAAAUGCGUAGAGAUGUGGAGGAACACCAGUGGCGAAGGCGACUCUCUGGUCUGUAACUGACGCUGAGGAGCGAAAGCGUGGGGAGCGAACAGGAUUAGAUACCCCCGUAGUCCCUGUCUCUUAUAC